rnacentral:hammerhead_ribozyme from 1 species
AUCCAGCUGACCACGAGUUCCAAAUAGAGUGAAAUGCGCAUCCUGGAU